rnacentral:rRNA from 1 species
ACCUUAGCACGGUCAGGAUACAGUGCAAAGGUAGCAUAAUAAUUUGUCUCCUAAUUAGAGACUGGAAUGAAUGGAAUCACGAGAGUCUAACUGUUUCUUUUCUACAUAUAAAAACUAACCUUUAAGUGAAGAGGCUUAAAUACUAUAAAAAGACAAAAAGACCCUAUCGAGCUUGAUUUAAAAGUAUGCCCUCAUACCUAAAAUUUUGUUGGGGUAACAAGAGAAAAUCUAAAUCUUCUCUUUUAUAUAUAAAGAUCCGCUAUGCGAUUAAAAAGUAAAGCUACCGUAGGGAUAACAGGCUAAUUCUUUUUGAGAGACCUUAUUGACAAAAGAGAUUGGCAC